rnacentral:tRNA from 1 species
GGCUCUGUAGCGCAAUGGAUAGCACAUUGGAGUUCUAAUUCAAAGGUUGUGGGUUCGGGUCCCACCAGAGUCG